CUGACUGGGGGAGGUAUGUAGGUUUCAUUAUGUGUAUAGUAGAGACUGACUGGGGGAGGUAUGCAGGUUUCAUUAUGUGUAUAUUAGAGACUGACUGGGGGAGGUAUGCAGGUUUCAUUAUGUGUAUAUUAGAGACUGACUGGGGGAGGUAGGCAGGUUUCAUUAUGUGUAUAUUAGAGUAGAGACUGACUGGGGGAGGUAUGCAGGUUUCAUUAUGUGUAUAUUAGAGA